GGCUCAGAUCCACAGUUGCAUCAGCCGUCACCUGGAAUGUCUUCAAAGCCGCGAGGUGUGGCUGUAUGAACAGGCAGACCUCAUCUAUCAGCUUAAAGAGGAGACGCUUCAGCAGCAGGCCCAGCAGCUGUAUUGGUUACUGGGCCAGUUCAAUUGUCUCAUUCAUCAGCUGGAGUGCACCCAAAACAAAGAUCUAGCCAAUCAAGUCUCCAUGUGUCUGGAGAGGUGAGGACGCUGUGGCUUGUUUUCCAUGACCUUGAUUUUGAUACGGCAAAACUAUUGCUGGCCUGGAUGCUGUCUGUGGACGUCUUCCAUCCUAUUCCAGAUCCUAACGUGAUAUUUCCCAGAAGGCCCCUCACCUCAAGGUCUCACAGAUGUGAUUUUGUGCAGAUCCUGUUGAAAAACAUCAUUUCCACAAUAAAGUCUGGGGUGAUUGUAUUAUUUAAGAUCU